CAUUAGAUCAGAGAUAUAACAUGUGGAUGUCAACCAUAUCUACACAAAACAGAGGAAACCGACAUUAAGGCAACUACAAAAAUAAAUUACAUGCUGGAAGCUAAAACAAUUCUGUUAUUCCAUUUUCAAAAAAGACUUUUAUACCCUCCAAAACUGAUAAAUUCAGUAAAAACAGUAAUAUCGUCAAUUAUUAUUACAGCUUAAAUGUAUUUUGGUGAAGGCAAACUGAAUUAUCAUAGUUUCCUCCAUUUGUCAGUGUCAUGUUGUCAUCAACAUUAAAAAAACAGUUGUGCAGCCUCAUAUUUUUGUGGAAACUGUGAAUUAUAACUACCUGUAUUAAGUUAUGGUUCAAUAAUUGUUUUAAUACUUUUCCUAAGCAGACAUGAACUGAUCAAAAGUGGCAGUAUUUAACAAUGUUACAUAAGAUUUGGGAAUUUAUUUAUUUAUUUUUACUUUUUGAAAUUAGUUUUGAAAGAACGCUGAAAAAAUGCAUCAGUUUAUUACAAAACUUUAAAAUGCAUAAGUUUGUCACAAAAAAAUUCACACAAUAAUAAGCAGCACAACCUUUUUCAACAGUGAUAAUAAUAUAAGUUUAUGCGUAAUAAUUACAUUAUAUAAUUAAUUUCUGAUUUAUAAUUUAUAUAUCGAUUAUGUUAAGAAAUGAAAUACUUAUUUUAAUGGGAAAUAUAUCUUACAUAUCACUGUUUUAACUGUUUCUCAUCAAAUGAAUGCAGCAUUGAUCACCGACAAACAAAACAACUUCAGCUUGCUCUUCCUCUGCAUUCGGUGCACAAGAAAAAAAGUCGUUUUUAAGCUUCUAACACCGUCUUCUCCUCCCUGACGCAUUCAUUACUCAAAAUAAAUGAAUGGAUAAAUAAAUUGUUAGCAUAAAUCGUCCACGAUUCAAACUUCGAGUUCUCACUUCAACCUGCUGACUUAAAACCAUUAUACCUUUAUAAAGUACUCUAAGUAUAUUCCGAUCACAAAUUAAGAAAAAUACAUCUAAACUGUAAUUCAACAUUUUCUGUGGCAUAUCGCGCUCAUUUACGAUCAAAGCGGGAAGCCGCCGGCACCCGCUACCCAGACAAAAUGGAUAAGUCCCGUUAGUAUCUACGUUACCUCACGCGGACGCCGUGUGUGAAUCUGAGUCGAUUCGCCAUCCCUCAGACACGGCUGUGUGAAGUUUCAGAGCUCUGUCUAUUUUUACCUCGUGGAUCAGUGGAAAACUAUAUAGACGCUUAUGGAACAGCAGAAAAUACUUGCAUUAAAUCACCACGCACGCAGCAUUAAUCAGGCCCCACGGAUUUAUAAUGCAUCACGGUCACCUCAAACAAAAGUAAUGUUUUAAUGGAAGGUUAAUAAUAUGAAUUACUGUGCUAAAAACACAUUCAAGCAGGAAACCAGCCCCACUCUCAAAAAAAAAAAAGAAAAAAAAAAAGAACAGAUUUCGCGCUCAUUUACGAUCAAAGCAGGAAGCCGCCCGCACCCCGUGACUGAGACGAAACGGAGAAGUCCCGUUAAUAUCUAACGUUACCUCACGCGGACGCCGUGUGUGAAUGAGCCGAUUCGCCAUUACUAUCGUGUCAGACACGGCGGUCUGUUUGUAGUUUCAGAGCUCUGUAUUUUUCUACCUCGUGGAUCAGUGAAAGACCACUAAAUAGACGCUUAUAGAACAGCAUUAAAUACUUGCAUUAAUCACCACGCACGCAGCAUUAAUCAGGCCUCACUGAUAUACAAUUCCUCACAGUGACCUCACACAACAUUAUUUCUUAAAUAGGUGGUUAAUAUUAGGAAAUACUCUCCCAAUACUGUCCUAAAAUUCAGCAGCGGCCUAACGUCAAUGACUAACCUCUGCUAAAAUAACUUAAAAAAUGCACUCCUUCCUGCAAUAUUGCGAUAAUAUUCAGAAUUAGCUAAUGUAUUCACAAACUUCAAUCAACAAUAGUAGUAUACACCACCUGGGAAACAUAUUUCAUUUCUCAAAAUUCGUUAUUAAAGGCAGACGUUAGAAAAGUAAACCAGCCCACUUACCUCAGGGAGAUUUCUGUAACAUCUGCGUUGGUGUCACUAUAUCAGGGUAUUACUCAGCCAAUCAGCACAGCGAACCUGCGCAGCCAAUAGUCAUGCAGCGGUUACUCUUCUGUCCAUAUAUAGAAGAGAGAGACCAUGGAGACGGAGGAUAUUUUUUUGAAUGUUUGCGCCAAGCCUUAAUAUUAAAAAUUAAAUAAUCGAUUAAACCUUCCAUAUAUUAUAAAGUUGAAGACGGUUAAAUGUAAAUAAUGUAAAAAAAAAAAAAAAAGAAAAAUACAAAAAAAGUCUUCGUUUUUAAGAUCACCAUGAGUCAUAUAAUAUAUAAUUUUUUAAUAAUGAGCACUUUAAAAUACAGAGAAAGAGACAUUGAAUUCAUCUGAUUAACGUGUAUAUAUAUUAUAAUUUUAAGGAACAUGAAGCAUUACAACCAGAAAUAUUAAAUUAUUUAAAUGUUAAAUAUUUAAAUAUUAAAUUCCCAACUCUAAUGAAGAUUAAACCAAUGAAAUUUAAAAUAUGGAUUGAUGGAUAUACAUUGAUGUGAUAUAAUGAUAUACUUAUGCAAUGCAAUUGUACACACAUAAAUAUAAUAUAUACACAUCACUAAGAAGGAUUUUUUUAAAAGGUUUUUGUAGAUUUAUUUAAGAUGUUUUAUACUAGUAACAUGCCACAUUAUAAAUAUUUAAUAUAUAAUUUCCCUUGUCCAAUGAACCCCUUCAUGUCCUCAUCAUAAUCAGUAAGCAAAAUUAAUUUGUGUACUGGUCUACGAUGUUGCUGAUAAACUUUCUUGUCUUGUUAAGCUUCCAUCAACACUGCUCAGCGAUGCUGUAGAAUAUGUUGUAUCCUUGCUGCUGUUUCUGUGUUGUUUUUAUGGGUGAUUGGCAGCUUUUUGCUAGUGUGUUAUUAGUCAGUUGCUAAUAUGGGUAUUUCCGAACAGUUACCAUGUUGUUGCUACGGUACUUUGUGUGAUUGUUAAAAAGCUAUUAGGGUCUUCUGAGUGGUUGCUAGGUGGUUUUUAGGCUGUAGAUAGGUUGUUCUGAGUGGUUAAGUGGGGUGGUUGCUUGGACGGUUGAUAAGAUCCCCAGGAUGGUUGCUACGGCCAUUGCUAAGGUACCCAGGAUGGUUGUUAGGGUAAUCGGGGUGGUUGCUAGGGCGUUGCUAUGUGGUUGGAUGGUUGAUAGGGCCAUUGCUUGGGUGCCCAGUAUGGUUGCUAGGUUUAAUUGGGGUGGUUGCUAGGGCGUUGCUAUGUGGUUGCUAGGGUACUCGGGUUGGUUGCUAUGGGGGUUUCUAGGGUACCAAGGAUGGUUGCAAGGGCGGUUACUAGGGUACCCAGGGUGGUUGCUAGGGUAAUCAAGGUGGUUGCUGGGGUGUUGCUAUGUGGUUGCUAGGGUCCACAUGAUGGUUGCUAAGGUACCAAGGGUGGUUGCUAGGAUAAUCUGGGUGGUUGCUAGGUUCCCCGUAAUGGUUGCUAGGGCCGUUGCUAAGGUACACAGGGUGGUUGCUAGGGUAAUCGGGGUGGUUGCUAGGGCGUUGCUAUGUGGUUGCUAAGGUACCUGGGGUGGUUGCUAGGGCGGUUGCUAGGGUCCCCACGAUGGUUGCUAGGGCCGUUGCUAGGGUACUCAGGGUGGUUGCUAGGGGACUCAGGGUUGGUUGCUAGGGUGUUGCUAUGUGGUUGCUAGGGUACCCGGGGUGGUUGCUAGGGCGGUUGCUAGGGUAACCUGGGUGGUUGCUAGGCAGUUGCUACGGUACUUGGGGUGGUUGCUAAGGUGUUGCUAGGCGGUUGCUAGGGUGUUUUGGCUGGUUGCUAGGCAGUUGCUAUGGUCUCCUGGGUGGUUGCUAUGAUGUUACUAGGUGGUUGGUAGUUGUCACAGAUGGUCACUAUGUAGUUAUUAUAGAGUUCUUAGCCCAUUUGAACACUUAGCUAAUCACUAUUAGCAUGUAGCUAAUCACUGCUAGCAUGACUAGCAUGUUGGAAGUCCAGUGUGCUAGCAUGACUCAAAAAAUCCAACCGCCAUGUCUGAACGAUGUUCUGAUGCAGAGAUAUAGGUCGUGCAAAACGGUUGCUAGGGUACUCCAUUUGGUUGCUAGGGAGUGGCUUGGCAGCUGCCAAUGAUGAUACUCCAAAGGCUGCUCGUCAAUAUAAACCAACCCCCAUGUCUCUAGGAUGUUCUGAUGUGGAGAUAUAGAUCUUGCAAAAUGGUUGCUAGGGUACUGUGUUUGGUUGUUAGGGAGUGGCCUGGCAACUGCCAAUGAUGAUACUCCGAAGUCUGCUUGCUAGUAUGAAUGACAUAAACCAACCCCCAUGCCUUUAUGAUAUUCAGAUUUGAAGAUAUCUCUCUAUGCUUUUGGUCGCUAGGGAGGUCCAAAUGGUUGCUAGGGCGUGGCUAUGAAGUGCUGAAGGUGAUUCGUGAUUGGCCAUUUGCCGCCCCGAGUCAAACGAGCCCACCCUCAUGUUUCUAUGACACUUCUAUCCAAAGUUAUUCAUUUUAACUUUUUCAAUGGAAGUCUAUGGAGCUUGUUGCUAUGGUGCUCUAUAUGGUUGCUAGGGCGUGGCUUGAUAACUUCAUAGUGACCCUGAGAGACUGAUUGGUUGCCUGAUUCAAAUGAGCCCACCCCCUUGUCUCUAUGACUAUGUGAUCCAUAGUUAUGUUCAAUGCAAAAUCCCUAUGUAAUUUCCCACAGUAGGAAAAACACAUUGUUUCAUGGGCGAUCCCUCCCCAUUGGCUUAGUAUGGGGCAACUUUGGGGGGCUCUUGCGCCCCAGGGGUACAACUUAUACCCCAUUGCGGGGUAUGAUCGCGCACAGCCUGAUAGCCUCUCCAAAUGUGGUGAUUCACAUGUUUCUGCGAAAUUCUCUCUCGGAGCUACGAUCCGUCAAAGUUGGCCGUAAUGCAUUGUCUAUGCGAUUUUUCGGCCGUUUUUUCGCCCGGUGUACGAACAUCGUACGCCCGAUCGCUUAUAAAAGUCAUAGCACACCAUUCCCGAUUAGGCCGCACGAUUUGACGCCUGUUUCGUUGGUCUGUGUCAAAAACUGCGGGACAAGUUACGCGCCGAAAUUUUGGCGGAAGAAGAAUAAGAAUAACUAGAAGGUACAUUUCCUGAAGAAAAUGUGAGUGGUGCUUGCAGUGGCAAAACUCUGCGCCCUGUUGCUAGGUUGUUGCAAUGAGGUUGCUACGGUGGUUGCUAAGGUACCCUGGGUGGUUGCUCAGGCGGUUGCUAGGGUCCCCAUGAUGGUUGCUAAGGUACCCAGGGUGGUUGCUAGGGUAAUCUGAAUGGUUGCUAGGGUCUUGCUAUGUGGUUGCUAGGGUAACCGGGGUGGUUGCUAGGGCGGUUGCUAGGGUCCCCAUGAUGGUUGCUAGGGCCGUUGCUAGGGUACCCAGGGUGGUUGCUAGGGUGUUGCUAUGUGGUUGCUAGGGUACCCGGGGUGGUUGCUAGGGCGGUUGCUAUGGUAACCUGGGUGGUUGCUAGGCAGUUGCUACGGUACUUGGGGUGGUUGCUAAGGUGUUGCUAUGUGGUUGCUAGGGUACCCGGGGUGG